GACAAGCUGCCACCACCUCGGUGCUUGCAGGUCAAGCCGACAGCCAGGGCAGGGGCACGUGCGGCGCGGUGACGUGGGAGGCUCUGAAAAGGGGCACGGACCACGGCGUGGGCAGGGGCAGGUGGGCCACGGACAGCCAGGGAAGCUCGCGGGGCAGGACAGGGCGCUCGCAAGUGGGCCACUGGGUAGACGCUCGCCCGGCCUCCACCCUCGGAUUGGCUCGUGCCUCCCACGACCAAGGCCACCUGAAGCCAGAGGCGCGGAGCCCAGGGAGCCCAGGGCCAACGUGCAGCCGCCGAGGGCAGACGGGGCAGCACACAGCCACACCUGAGGGGACACCAGCUUCGCGCCCACACACCGCGUCAGAGUCGGCACCCGCGCGCGUUCCUGGGGAGCGUCCAGGACUGUGCUCAGGGAGCUUUACAUCCCACUGGUGGGAAACCACUAGCACCUGCGCUCAGGAAGCACACAGCGGGUGGACACCGGGAAGGCCUCGCUGGACGCCACGGACAUCGAAGCCUCCCGUGUGACGCAGGCCCACCGCCCCCAGGCCCUUGUGCACAUCCCCAGCCCGAGGGGCAAGGACGUUCUGGACAGGCCUCCCUGCGUGGGACAGUUCCCAUGACUUUGGAUUUGCUGUGUAGGGGCCACCCCUGAAGAGGAAAGCAGGAGCAUGCUCCUGCCCGAGAGCAGACGAGGGCCCUGCAAGAAUCCCAGGGAGACCGGACCCCAGAGGCCCGUUCCAGGGCUCUGAAGUGCUUUCUGGGGGACAGGAGUGGGGGUGAGCCCUCCACCCUGCCUUCCAGGGCCACUCUGAGGACACCAGGACCCUAGGCUUCCGAGGAAGGCGGAGGGGAGAGAAGGGGGAGGGGGUCUCAGCCCACGUCCCGCCCCCAGGAAGACACCUGACCCGUCUCCAAGUUGCCGGCCCGUGGCGAGAGGGGCCUUUGUGCGCGUGGAAGGCGGCUGCCUGGGACCCGGAGCCCUGAGCCACCCCGGCUGCGCCGCCUCCCUGCGCCCUUCACGCCCAGCCGAGGAGCUCGCAAAUAAAUCCACAGACACAAAAUCUUGUGUGCCGGGGAGAGACUGCGGCGUGGGCAGCGGCGGAGAGCAGGUGCGGGGCGCAGCGAGGCUGGGCGCGGGGAGGCUGGGCCCGCGCCCGCCCAACGGGAGCACAAACCCGCGCCGGGGCCUG